GAGUUUGAUUCUGGCUCAGGAUGAACGCUAGCGGGAGGCCUAACACAUGCAAGCCGAGCGGGAUUUGUUGGUUAGCUUGCUAACUAAUAAUGAGAGCGGCGUACGGGUGCGUAACACGUGUGCAACCUGCCUUUAUCUGGGGGAUAGCCUUUCGAAAGGAAGAUUAAUACCCCAUAAUAUAUUAAUUGGCAUCAAUUGAUAUUGAAAGCUCCGGCGGAUAGAGAUGGGCACGCGUAAGAUUAGCUAGUUGGUGAGGUAACGGCUCACCAAGGCUGCGAUCUUUAGGGGGCCUGAGAGGGUGAUCCCCCACACUGGUACUGAGACACGGACCAGACUCCUACGGGAGGCAGCAGUGAGGAAUAUUGGACAAUGGGUGAGAGCCUGAUCCAGCCAUCCCGCGUGAAGGACUAAGGACCUAUGGUUUGUAAACUUCUUUUAUACAGGGAUAAACCUACUCUCGUGAGGGUAGCUGAAGUACUGAUGAAUAAGCACCGCA
rnacentral:rRNA from 1 species